rnacentral:rRNA from 1 species
UUAAGUGACUAAGCGUACACGGUGGAUGCCCUGGCAGUCAGAGGCGAUGAAGGACGUGCUAAUCUGCGAAAAGCGUCGGUAAGGUGAUAUGAACCGUUAUAACCGGCGAUGUCCGAAUGGGGAAACCCAGUGCAAUUCGUUGCACUAUCGUUAACUGAAUACAUAGGUUAACGAGGCGAACCGGGGGAACUGAAACAUCUAAGUACCCCGAGGAAAAGAAAUCAACCGAGAUUCCCCCAGUAGCGGCGAGCGAACGGGGAGCAGCCCAGAGUCUGAAUCAGCUUGUGUGUUAGUGGAACGGUCUGGAAAGUCCGACGGUACAGGGUGAUAGUCCCGUACACCAAAAUGCACAGGCUGUGAACUCGAAGAGUAGGGCGGGACACGUGGUAUCCUGUCUGAAUAUGGGGGGACCAUCCUCCAAGGCUAAAUACUCCUGACUGACCGAUAGUGAACCAGUACCGUGAGGGAAAGGCGAAAAGAACCCCGGCGAGGGGAGUGAAAAAGAACCUGAAACCGUGUACGUACAAGCAGUGGGAGCACCUUCGGGUGUGACUGCGUACCUUUUGUAUAAUGGGUCAGCGACUUAUAUUCUGUAGCAAGGUUAACCGUAUAGGGGAGCCGCAGGGAAACCGAGUCUUAACUGGGCGUUAAGUUGCAGGGUAUAGACCCGAAACCCGGUGAUCUAGCCAUGGGCAGGUUGAAGGUUGGGUAACACUAACUGGAGGACCGAACCGACUAAUGUUGAAAAAUUAGCGGAUGACUUGUGGCUGGGGGUGAAAGGCCAAUCAAACCGGGAGAUAGCUGGUUCUCCCCGAAAGCUAUUUAGGUAGCGCCUCGUGAACUCAUCUUCGGGGGUAGAGCACUGUUUCGGCUAGGGGGUCAUCCCGACUUACCAACCCGAUGCAAACUACGAAUACCGAAGAAUGUUAUCACGGGAGACACACGGCGGGUGCUAACGUCCGUCGUGAAGAGGGAAACAACCCAGACCGCCAGCUAAGGUCCCAAAGUCAUGGUUAAGUGGGAAACGAUGUGGGAAGGCACAGACAGCCAGGAUGUUGGCUUAGAAGCAGCCAUCAUUUAAAGAAAGCGUAAUAGCUCACUGGUCGAGUCGGCCUGCGCGGAAGAUGUAACGGGGCUAAACCAUGCACCGAAGCUGCGGCAGCGACACUAUGUGUUGUUGGGUAGGGGAGCGUUCUGUAAGCCUGCGAAGGUGACCUGUGAGGGUUGCUGGAGGUAUCAGAAGUGCGAAUGCUGACAUAAGUAACGAUAAAGCGGGUGAAAAGCCCGCUCGCCGGAAGACCAAGGGUUCCUGUCCAACGUUAAUCGGGGCAGGGUGAGUCGACCCCUAAGGCGAGGCCGAAAGGCGUAGUCGAUGGGAAACAGGUUAAUAUUCCUGUACUUGGUGUUACUGCGAAGGGGGGACGGAGAAGGCUAUGUUAGCCGGGCGACGGUUGUCCCGGUUUAAGCAUGUAGGCUGGUUGUCCAGGCAAAUCCGGAUAAUCAAGGCUGAGGUGUGAUGACGAGGCACUACGGUGCUGAAGUAACAAAUGCCCUGCUUCCAGGAAAAGCCUCUAAGCAUCAGGUAACAUCAAAUCGUACCCCAAACCGACACAGGUGGUCAGGUAGAGAAUACCAAGGCGCUUGAGAGAACUCGGGUGAAGGAACUAGGCAAAAUGGUGCCGUAACUUCGGGAGAAGGCACGCUGGUGUGUAGGUGAAGUCCCUGCGGAUGGAGCUGAGACCAGUCGAAGAUACCAGCUGGCUGCAACUGUUUAUUAAAAACACAGCACUGUGCAAACACGAAAGUGGACGUAUACGGUGUGACGCCUGCCCGGUGCCGGAAGGUUAAUUGAUGGGGUUAUCCGUAAGGAGAAGCUCUUGAUCGAAGCCCCGGUAAACGGCGGCCGUAACUAUAACGGUCCUAAGGUAGCGAAAUUCCUUGUCGGGUAAGUUCCGACCUGCACGAAUGGCGUAAUGAUGGCCAGGCUGUCUCCACCCGAGACUCAGUGAAAUUGAACUCGCUGUGAAGAUGCAGUGUACCCGCGGCAAGACGGAAAGACCCCGUGAACCUUUACUAUAGCUUGACACUGAACAUUGAGCCUUGAUGUGUAGGAUAGGUGGGAGGCUUUGAAGCGUGGACGCCAGUCUGCGUGGAGCCAACCUUGAAAUACCACCCUUUAAUGUUUGAUGUUCUAACGUUGGCCCCUGACCGGGGUUGCGGACAGUGUCUGGUGGGUAGUUUGACUGGGGCGGUCUCCUCCCAAAGCGUAACGGAGGAGCACGAAGGUUAGCUAAUCCUGGUCGGACAUCAGGAGGUUAGUGCAAUGGCAUAAGCUAGCUUGACUGCGAGCGUGACGGCGCGAGCAGGUGCGAAAGCAGGUCAUAGUGAUCCGGUGGUUCUGAAUGGAAGGGCCAUCGCUCAACGGAUAAAAGGUACUCCGGGGAUAACAGGCUGAUACCGCCCAAGAGUUCAUAUCGACGGCGGUGUUUGGCACCUCGAUGUCGGCUCAUCACAUCCUGGGGCUGAAGUAGGUCCCAAGGGUAUGGCUGUUCGCCAUUUAAAGUGGUACGCGAGCUGGGUUUAGAACGUCGUGAGACAGUUCGGUCCCUAUCUGCCGUGGGCGCUGGAGAAUUGAGGGGGGCUGCUCCUAGUACGAGAGGACCGGAGUGGACGCAUCACUGGUGUUCGGGUUGUCAUGCCAAUGGCACUGCCCGGUAGCUAAAUGCGGAAGAGAUAAGUGCUGAAAGCAUCUAAGCACGAAACUUGCCCCGAGAUGAGUUCUCCCUGAGACUUUAAGUCUCCUGAAGGAACGUUGAAGACGACGACGUUGAUAGGCCGGGUGUGUAAGCGCAGCGAUGCGUUGAGCUAACCGGUACUAAUGAACCGUGAGGCUUAACCUU